CUCAACUUCACAAGGCUAAAAGUGCUCGUAGUUGAAGAAUGGCCCAUCUACCAAGCCAGGUCAGAGGUCAUGGAGAGCUCUCGAGGGGAACUGGAUUCCUGGUGGAUUAAAACAACUGAUUCCUGAGUUUUUCUAUUUUAUGUGUAAAUUCUCUGUAAAGUAAUUUUCUUUGUAUGCAGGAGAGAUUUUCUGUCUUAAAAUGCUUGAUUAACAAUGUGGAAAUAUCAAACCAAUACGAAUGUAAUGUGAAACCUGAAUAUUAGCCUGUAGGUAAUUAAUGCGCCACUCAUCAAUAAAGACACAUAGAACUUGUUUGACGAGCUCUUAUAUUGGGGAUGCAGAAUGUUUUCAUUGCUUACAGAUUUAAUUGACGCAGACACAAAUGAUAAUUUUACCAACAAAAAUAUGAACACAUUUCCUUUACUAAAUGCCUUAUAAAGAUGACUGGCUGCUUUAUUUUUAAUCCUAUAUUGUAUUAAGCCGUUCAAUAAGUUUUAAAUUAUGAGUAUUUCUGUUGCUGAAUGAAAACGCAAUGAGCGGAUGUAAAAAAUCUUGUGAAUUCUGCAAGAGGCAGAUUUGGUCAGUCUUUCUCCAAUAGUAUCUGCAUGCAGACUUGGAUUUGCAAGCUGAGACUGCAUAUAUCAGACUUACAAUGUCAGACGCUGCACUCAAUGAAGCAAAUGACGUCAUUGUGAGGGGCGGGGUUUGUAUGUGCAUUAAAGCGCAGAUCCCAUUCGCUCCACUAGGCGGCAUCAGCGAGCUGCUCUUUUAGUCUGAACAACUUUGACAACAACGACACCAGAUCAGCCUAGGUACACGGUUUUACUGGCGUCAAGUUGAGCUCCAGUAGCAGAUGACAGCUCAGUGCCAGACUCAUAAUGUCAGUCAACAGCAGAUAUUACAGCCCGACAGCGAAGAAAAGCCACACCAAGUGCAGAAAUGGAGAGUAACGCGACUCACCUCAGUGAAGAUACACACGUGUGUUUGUUGUGUUUCUGCAGCAGAUCUUUGACCUGCGCUCAACAGCUGAUGCUCCUCCACACACUCCUCCACAUCCAGGCGGAUUCACAGCUCCAGUAAAGAUCUUUGACCUGCGCUCAACAGCUGACGCUCCUCCACACACUCCUCCACAUCCAGGCGGAUUCACAGCUCCAGUAAAGGUAUUUAUGAGCUCAUAUUUCCAGUAGAGAGUCCAGAAAGUGUGUUUGUUGUGCUGCUGCUCUGUCGCGUGUAUGUUGGGGGAGGGACUUUCUGUAGAAAGCAUGUGAUUGGCCAGAUUUGGUGUAGAGUCCUCAAUACAGUAUGAGGAGACUUUAGAGGUAAAUCAUGAUAUUUACAGUGUUUAAUUGUGUUUAGUGACAUUUAAAGCCCCACCAGCAGCUGUAAGAUAAUUUGAAACAUGUUCAUGUGUCUGAUUGAAGAAUAAGCAUGUUUGUCACAUUUUGAAUAGUGAAAUAUAAUAAUAUAUUCGCAUAUGAUGCAGUUUACAUUUAUUUAAAAUAAUUUACAUUUGAUAUGAAUUAUUUGUGUUUAUUUAGUUUUUUUUUCAAAAUGUGUAGAAUGUGGUUAUCCUCCCAUUGGAGAAAGAAAUGUGGGUUUAUAUGUGUGGUGAUGGUGAAGUGGUCAGAGCACACAGCAUGACAUCUAAAGCUGUCACAGCAUACCUGGGUUCAAAUCCAAGCACUGCUGCUGCUUUUACUGCUAAGAUAAUCAGAAAAACAACAAAGUAAUUUUAUGUGUGUGUUCCCACUCUAAUUACCUUGCACUUGUAGUGGUGUGAGCCAGACAUUGAGGUGGGUUUCAUACCCAGGCCUCUGUCGUUACCUUGUCUACCGCAAUCUUGUGUUCAUCCACUAGCCCAUCAUGGUUUUCAGUCUGUCAGCUGCUGUUUGGGCCACACUGUUUGAUUGAAUUCCAGCAACCGAAAGUAAAGUAAGCAAUAGUGGGAUUUGAACCCGUGUCUCCUGUAUGUCAGGCAGAGGCUCAUCCACUGAACCACAGGGCUUGACAUCAGGCAGUUGUUGUUUUGUGAGCCAAAUUACAAAGAAAUAUUUGUCAAACCUUGUUCAUGAUGAAAACAGUGAUAAAGCCUCAUUCAGACACAUUGAUCACCAUCUAGACUCAGUGGCUCAAGUCAUAAACUAUUGAUCUUUAAUCAAGGAGACCCGGGUUUAAACCUCACUAUGGCUAAUGUCCAUCUUGACCUCAUUAUACUGACCAGGAGCCCCUGAUGAUGGAACGAAACCCAUGAUGGGUAAAUAAACACAAGUUCUCUGAGGAAGAGACUCAUAAAGACAAGAGUUCAAAUCUGACUUGUAUCUCGAUUUGGUAGAAAUGAGAUUCGAUCCUUCACACUUCUAAAUAGCAGGCGAACGCUCAUCCUUUGAGCCACAGGGUUUGACAUUUGGCGAAAGGUUUUUCGUGGCCCAAAUUACAAAGAAACAUGUGUCAAACAUUGGUCGGUAUGAGAAUAGUGAUAAAGCCCCAAUCUGACCACUCCUUUGCUGUCCAGACUCAGUGGCUCAGGUCUUAACGUAUCGAGCUUUAAUCUAGGAGACCCGGGUUCAAACCUCACCAUGGCUAAUGUCCCACAGAGUUCAUUAUGUUCAUCAAGAUGAUGGACGCUGAUGUGAAACUAAUGAUGGUUGAUGAGUGAAUAAACACAAGUUCUCUGAGGAAGAGACUCAUAAAGACAAGGGUUCAGAUCUGACAUAUAUUCUUGUUUUAUUGAAUCAGCUCACACACAGGUCAGCAGUCCAACAUCAGUUCCAGCAAGUGUUCAGACAAGGAGAUCUGUGGCUCUGUGGUAAGAGCGCUGCCCCACGGCUUCAGGGGUUGCUGGUAUCGGUCCCAGCCAGAACUCUGCGAUAUGUGUGAAUGGCGGCAUCAGCGAGCUGCUCUUUUAGUCUGAACAACUUUGACAACAACGACACCAGAUCAGCCCAGGUACACGGUUUUAAUGGCGUCAAGUUGAGCUCCAGUAGCAGAUGACAGCUCAGUGCCAGACUCAUAAUGUCAGUCAACAGCAGAUAUUACAGCCCGACAGCGAAGAAAAGCCACACCAAGUGCAGAAAUGGAGAGUAACGCGACUCACCUCAGUGAAGAUACACACGUGUGUUUGUUGUGUUUCUGCAGCAGAUCUUUGACCUGCGCUCAACAGCUGAUGCUCCUCCACACACUCCUCCACAUCCAGGCGGAUUCACAGCUCCAGUAAAGCACAGAUGGAAAGUAAAGGAGUGUGAAGAGAAGACGCGACUCAAACACAGGUGAGACAAAUCUCUUAUCUGCAGUGAUGCUGCUUUUGAAUCACUGAUUCAUUAAACUCUGAAUCUUUAAUUUGAAUCUUUGAUUUGAAUCUUUAUUUUGACUCUUUGAUUGAAUCAGUGGUUCAGAGCACAAAUCUUUCUGCCAAUCCUGAUUUUAGAAAGAUGCUCAACAAAAUCCUGAGAUGUCAGUGUUUCUCCACUAGAGGGCGCUGAUGUGAUGAAUCUACAAUAUAGUUUAAGCUGAUCUUUAAAACAAAUGAGCUGAAUUAUUGAAAAGCAUCAAUCAUCACUACUCGACUCUCUUUAUCUUCACACAGACGUUCAGCCUGAGCUAGAAGAGACGUCUAGAAGAACCAGACGGUAAGAACAUCUUACUUUAGCUGACUCUGUCUGACCAAAUCAACAAGCUCAGUUUAGAUGACAGACAUUAAUAAUCAUCAGACAUUAACAAUCAGCAGACAUUAAUAAUCAGCAAAUCUUAAUAAUCAGCAGACAUUAAUAAUCAGCAGACAUUAAUAAUCAGCAGACAUUAAUAAUCAAUAAGUCAGUGACGUGUAAAAUCGGGCCUGUCUUAAUAGCAACACUUGCUGUCUUUGCUUUGAGCUCUUGUGUUCUUGCUGCUGUUUUCUGUGUUUGAUCAAGUGUUCAAUAUCAGACUGCAGGAGUCGACAUGUCUGAUGCUCUUACAGGACACGUGUGCUCUGUCUAGGGCUGCUCGAUUUUGGUAAAAAUCAUAAUCACGAUUAUUUUGGUCUUAAUUGUAAUCACGAUUAUUCCAAACGAUUAUUAGUUGAAGUCAAAA